rnacentral:rRNA from 1 species
GACGAACGCUGGCGGCGUGCUUAACACAUGCAAGUCGAACGGAAAGGCCCUGCUUUUGUGGGGUGCUCGAGUGGCGAACGGGUGAGUAACACGUGAGUAACCUGCCCUUGACUUUGGGAUAACUUCAGGAAACUGGGGCGAAUACCGGAUAGGAGCUCCUGCUGCAUGGUGGGGGUUGGAAAGUUUCGGCGGUUGGGGAUGGACUCGCGGCUUAUCGGCUUGUUGGUGGGGUAGGGGCUUACCAAGGCUUUGACGGGUAGCCGGCCUGAGAGGGUGACCGGCCACCUUGGGACUGAGGUACGGCCCAGACUCGUACGGGAGGCAGCAGUGGGGAAUCUUGCACAAUGAGCGGAAGCCUGAUGCAGAAGCGCCGCGUGCGGGAUGACGGGCUUCUGGUUAUAAACCGCUUUCGCCUGUGACGAAGCGUGAGUGACGGUAAUGGGUAAAGAAGCACCGGCUAACUACGUG